UACGGGGGGGGCAAGCGUUGUUCGGAAUUACUGGGCGUAAAGGGCUUGUAGGUGGCCAACUAAGUCAGACGUGAAAUCCCUCGGCUUAACCGGGGAACUGCGUCUGAUACUGGAUGGCUUGAGUGUGGGAGAGGGAUGCGGAAUUCCAGGUGUAGCGGUGAAAUGCGUAGAUAUCUGGAGGAACACCGGUGGCGAAGGCGGCAUCCUGGACCAACACUGACACUGAUGAGCGAAAGCCAGGGGAGCAAACGGG
rnacentral:rRNA from 1 species